rnacentral:rRNA from 1 species
GACGAACGCUGGCGGCGUGCUUAACACAUGCAAGUCGAACGGAAAGGCCCUGCUUUUGUGGGGUGCUCGAGUGGCGAACGGGUGAGUAACACGUGAGUAACCUGCCCUUGACUUUGGGAUAACUUCAGGAAACUGGGGCUAAUACCGGAUAGGAGCUCCUGCUGCAUGGUGGGGGUUGGAAAGUUUCGGCGGUUGGGGAUGGACUCGCGGCUUAUCAGCUUGUUGGUGGGGUAGUGGCUUACCAAGGCUUUGACGGGUAGCCGGCCUGAGAGGGUGACCGGCAACAUUGGGACUGGGAUACGGCCCGGACUCCUACGGGAGGCAGCAGUGGGGAAUAUUGCACAAUGGGCGGAAGCCUGAUGCAGCAACGCCGCGUGCGGGAUGACGGCCUUCGGGUUGUAAACCGCUUUCGCCUGUGACGAAGCGUGAGUGACGGUAAUGGGUAAAGAAGCACCGGCAAAUUACGG